CUGGGAGGGAUUUUGCUUCCCCGACCCCUACUUAGAAGUUCAGGGACACAAGGACAUGAGAAGCCUGACUGACCAUGAAGACUGAGGUAAAGAACUUGUUAAGUACCGCAGUCUUCUCCAUGACCAAGGAGGCCAGCUCUUCCUUUUCACUGAUCAGAGGGAAUACACUCUCCUUUGCCUGUCUCUUCUGUACAGUGUCUCUAAAGAAUCCCUUCUGGUUGUUUUUCACAUCCUCUUACCAACUUCAAUUCCAUCUGCACCUUGGCUUUCCUGACUCCAUCCUGCACAUCUGGACAGCAUCUCUAGAUUCUUCUCAGGUCACCCAUCCCCACUUCCACCACUUUUCCUUUUCCUUUUUUUUUUUUUUUUUUUUUUUUUUUCACUCAGCCUGACCAGCAAGUCCUUGCUCAGCCAUGCUGGUUUCCUGCCUCAUCUGUCUCAUUUCUUAUUCUGGGGGAUGGAGAGCUCUUGUGCUCUCAGAGAAGCAUCCUUAAAGUGCUGCCAGCUUGGUCCUGUUACUUUGUCCCUAGGGACAGUUUCACAGGGGAUCUCAUCCAACACUUCCUUAAACAGCCUGAAGCUGGCUCUCCUGAAGUUCAGGUCCUGACUCCACUCGUUACCAGGCUCACAUUCCCCAGGAUCAUGAACUCAACCUGGGCAUGAUCGCUAUAGUCCAGGCUGCCUCCAAUCUUAACCUCUUUUACAAUCUCUUCCAUGUUGGUAAGCACCAGGUCCAGCAACGCUUCACCUCUUGUUGGUCUGUCCAUUACCUAAACCAGAAAGAUAUUGUCAGUGGACUCCAAGAGUCUCCUGGGUCACUUGCAGAUCACAAUGUUGUUUUCUAGUAGAUAUUUGAGUGGUUGAAAUCUCCCAUCCAGAUGAGAACCCGUGAGCACAAUGCCUCUUGCAGCUGAAGCAAGAAGGCCUUGUCAACAGCUCCCCUUGAUCAGGCAGCUCAGAGUAGACCCUGACCACCAGAUGCCCUUUACUGGCCCUGUCCCUAAUCUUAACCCACAAGAUCUUAACCUGUUCCUGACUGUUUCUCAGGGGCAGCUCUCAGCAGAUUAUCCACUUCUUAACAAGAGGGCAACUCCCCCACCUCUCCUAUUUGCCUAUCCCUUCUAAAAAGUUUACAGCCCUCAAUCAUGGUAUUCCUCUUGUGAGUCAUCCCACCGUGUUUCCAUGAUAGCAAUAAGAUUGUAGUUUUCCAAUUGCACCACAGUUUCCAAUUCCUCCUGCUUACUUCCCAUGAUGUGUGCAUUGGUACAGAGGCAUUUCAGCUGAAAGUGCCAAAGGUCACAUCUCUGUUUGCCUUGGACCCUUUAUAGAUACAGAUAUAAAACCAGAUAAAUAUGACUGUUUGGAGCUAAAUGCGUGUGCUGCAAGAGUGUGUUAUUAAUGAGAAAAAAGCCUGAAGGCACAGUGACUCCUAGCUCAUGGCCAGCAGACCAUUGCUCUUGUUCUGGGGAAGCAAAUGGGAAAAGCAGAGCCAGCCAAGGAGCAGACAGCCUACACAGGGAUGGAUUUGCUCCUGGCCCUUUCUCAGGCAAGGCGAGAGCUUUUCCUGAGUGCAACCCACAAGACUGGAUCCACAGCUCCUCUGCCUGCAGCACUUCAAGACUUCCAGGUUGGAGACAAUGCGUCUGGAAAUUUGGGCUGUAGCCACCACAACUCCAUUCCUAUGGCCGUCUCCCAAAUGACUGAAGACCUCUGGCUUCUCUGGAUGCUCUUUCUCAGGUUCUGUUGUCCUGCGGUGUUUCUUCCAAAGUACCUGACAAACCCUGGAAAUGGCACUGGGUGCUUGAGUCCAGGUGAACAAUACAGAGUGAGGAAAGGAAUGCUCAUUGGCAUGACUUCCAGCCUCAGACUUGUAGUGAAGCCACAGUGCGGUGUUGGGAGCUGAGCACAUCCACCUUUGGUAUCUGCCCAGAAAAUGGUCUGGCUCCAUGGAUGUAUUCACUGGGAAUAGCUGUAUAAGCUGGAAUACAGUCAAAGAUACAUGGCAGAGAAACCUGCCCUGUGAAUAAAGCCUUUGUUAAGAGGCAUUCCAUCUGUACAUGAUUUCAUCAGCUCCAUGAAAUGUGCAGGACAUUUAUAUGGUGAAUUAGGCACAGCUCCUGUUUUGAGAGAGAAAAUGCUUCUGUGUGCUUUUCCACCGAAGUCUGUUGCGACACGAAGAGGGGAGGAAACCUUCUGCAAUGCUGUUACUGUUCUCAGCCACAGGACAGGGCAAGCAUUGGGACCGUGCUAACAUGGCUAUAAAAAUAACGUGCAUGUAAAAAGCAUCAAAUGCACAAAAAAAUUGGCAUCGCCCUCUUCUUUGCCUUCUCUCCCUUAAAUGUGGAGAUACUUAAAACAGUGUAAAUAACAUUCAAGACAGCUAAAGAGCAGUCCACAGUGCUGAAACACUCCUGCCGUCCAAAGCAGCUCCAUGCCAGCUAUUUCAUUUACCAUAUGUUUGGUGUGGUUUUGGCAGAGUCAACAUGAGGAUUUUUGGGCAGGCCUGCAAAACAGUUUUUCCCUUCCUCCACCCAAACGUGACCCAGUCCUGUCUGCCAUGAUCACGCCAUUGCACAGGGUCAGCCUGGCUGUUUUGGGCAGAAUUAGUCAGAGGGGCAUUGGAAAGAUGCCCAAGGAGGGCUGAUUCAUUUUCCAUAUAAGUGGUUGCAUUAUGGAGCAGGAAGGAGAAGGAAGACGCAAUGUUUGGGAUGGAGAUGCUGGGUAAUGCUGAAGGACCACACAGGGAUUAUAGGAUUCCUUCUCCAGGUCCAAGGCAGGUGUGGUUGGGAUGCACUGGCUGUGGGGGCAAGCUGCCAGCCCCAUGGCACUGUUUUCAGCCAUCCUGCAGGAACUGCCAGAGGCUGUGAACCAGUGACUGGAAACGUGGAGCUUUGCUCCUGGGGUCGUCUGGUUUCAGAUGUGGAGAACACGGGCUCCAGGCAGCCCAGUCCAGCAGAGAACUGCCUGAGCUGUGAGCAGACUCUCCGGGGUGGGGCUUAAUUUUCCUUAAAAAUGAGUGGGAUGCAGUGCCCAGACAUACAGUCCAGUUGGUGCCAUCCAGCUAGGGCCUGGGACUUAGCUACCUGAGCUGAAUCACAGUUUUCUGUGUGUCACAAGAGAAGCUGGACUUGCUCACAGCUGCGAUGCAAACGGGUUCUCUUGAGCAGAGAAGUUCUGAUGCAGCCCAACAGUCAGAGCGCAGGUACAAAAUCCAUAGCAAGCUUCAUGACAGUCAGGUCAGGCCAGGACAAGAGCACUGUGAGGCAGUGUGUGGUGGGAGAAGCCAUCCUCCUCCUGUGAGACU
ensembl:lncRNA